rnacentral:rRNA from 1 species
CCUACGGGAGGCAGCAGUGGGGGAUAUUGCACAAUGGGGGGAACCCUGAUGCAGCGACGCCGCGUGGGUGAAGAAGCGCCUCGGCGCGUAAAGCCCUGUCAGCAGGGAAGAAAAUGACGGUACCUGAAGAAGAAGCCCCGGCUAACUACGUGCCAGCAGCCGCGGUAAUACGGAAGGUCCGGGCGUUAUCCGGAUUUAUUGGGUUUAAAGGGAGCGUAGGCCGGCUUUUAAGUCAGCUGUGAAAGUCCGCGGCUCAACCGUGGAAUUGCAGUUGAAACUGGAGGCCUUGAGUGCACACAGGGAUGCCGGAAUUCAUGGUGUAGCGGUGAAAUGCUUAGAUGUCAUGAAGAACUCCGAUCGCGAAGGCAAGUGUCCGGGGUGCAACUGACGCUGAGGCUCGAAAGUGCGGGUAUCAAACAGGAUUAGAUACCCUUGUAGUC